AUACCGAGCACCAACAUCCAUCUUCCUCUGCUUCCUGACUAUCGACACAGUGUGCCCUGCAGCCUCAGGAUUUGCCGCCACAGCUGAGAGCUGCCUUCCCACCAUGACGGACUGAACCCUCAAACUGGGAGCCAAGCCUGGGAUCUCAGUGCAUAGGACCACACCGCUGCAAUCAGGAUGGGUCUUCUCUCCUCGCCCCAUCCCUGAAUGGCAGAGCUGAGACGUUGAGCCCAUCUGCAGGAAUCCCCUAGUGUCAGGACACACAAUCCCAACAGCUCAGCAUUUCAACUGACAACUGAGAACACAACCUUGAGAAAAAAUCUGAGGCUCUCUCUUGAAGAAUGUCCCCCAAAUAAAGUUUAAAAAGGCAUAGCUAAUCACUAACUGACUUCCUUAGAGAGAGCGGUUGGGUUAUGAGCACUUUCUCUAAAUGUCUACAGCCGCAACAGAAUCAGCAAAAUCAAGCUAGGCAUGAUGCCUUUACACCUCUAGUCCCGGCCCUUGGAAAGCAGAAGCUGGGCACCUCAAGUUCAGGCCAACCCGGGACACAGAAUGAUACUCUUUCAAAAGAACAACCACUACUUAAAAAAAAAAAAAAGAAAAGAAAAGAAAGAAA